rnacentral:lncRNA from 1 species
AUGCCUUUGGAUCUCUCUGUUCCCGCUUCAAGAAUUAAGACAGAGUCAAGGAAGAGAACUGGGGAUGUGAUAAAGAUACCAGGAAAGGAUCCUUCAAGCCUUGACCAGUUGAGGCAAGCAAUUGUUGAAGAAGUCAAGAAGGCUGAGAAGAACCUGCCCCUCAUUAGAAAGUUGAUGGAGACCACAUUUCCCCUGCGCAGACAAACCAUAGUGAUGUCCUGCCCACCAGUGAAGGAGCUCUUGGACCUCUGGCCUGCUCUAAAAAUGGAGUCUGAGGUAAUAUGGAUCAGCUCUCUUUAAAAUGAAAAUUGUAAUUCUUACUCAUGUGGCAGCUUUUUGCUUUUUGCUGCUUUAUAAAGGUGUGCGAGAUUCUUUAAAUUGAACUGUAUUGUCCUUCUGCUGUAGUUGUAUGCAGAGUUUCAGCGGAUUACAAAUCAGAACCUGCCCAAUACAUUCUAUGCUGAACUUGACCGCCAUCUUCCUCGACUGAUGACCUUAUUCAGACAGAAGGCAUCAAAACUGGGAAGACAGCAGAUGCCCUGGCUGAAAUUCUAAGAAUUCACGAUGAACAGGUAAUAAUAGAUUGUUACACAUUUCAUAGGUUGAACCAGUGGAACAUUGGACAGGUUCAAUGAUUUAAAUGAGCUUUUUGAAUUUUGCUAUUAGUCCACUUUGUGUUUGCUAUUUGUCUGACUGUAUUAAAGAUGUGAACAGGUUAUUUGUGGACAUAUGUUCUCAUUUGACUGUUGUUGUUGUUGUUCAGUAAACUCACCAGUAUAUACAAUUCUGUUUUUAUCUGGCAAUAGGAAAUCCAUGAUAUCCACACCAAGCGCACUACCGUUCUCCACGCCCUUCCUGUCUAUCUGCGUGAGGAUGUCUCUGGAUUUUUCAGAACCUGCACUGUGAGUGUCCUUAAGUUUCUAACAGAUACUACUGUGUAUAUAAACAGUGCAUCAAAGUACAAACAUGUAUUUUGAUGCACUGUUUGGACUUACCUUUGUUUAGUCUACCCAUACGGUUUCCAUGUAUGGUCUUUUCUGUCUCCUCACUACGAAUGAACUGAAUUGGUGUUUUGUUGAAAGUGAUAAGAUGUUUAGUAAAACAUUUUCCUGUGUAUUUCCUUUAGCUUAGUUUCAGUCUAUCUCACACCACUUGAUUCUCUGGUGAAUUAGCUGAUUUAUGUGUGCAGAACAUGGAUCUUCUGUUUUUCACCUCUUACAGUGAGACCCAGGUCUCCCUUGUAAAAGAGGUAUUGGAUCUCAACGGGAGUUGGUAAAAUGAGAAAUUAUAUGUCGUCUGUUGUAUUUCUUGGGUUAGAUUGUGAUUAGUAUCUCUUUUUCAUUCAUUCAGGACGAAUCUGAUGAGUUGGAGCUUGAUGGUGUUGAAGUGGCCCUCUUCACUGUCAUCAGUGACCAUGACACGACAAGUCCAGUUCACUACCAACCUGUGAAAACCUCUGUCGUCAUUGAAAGUGAUGCCAUGGUCAGUCUCCCCAGAUUUGGUGAAGCCUUCCUGGUAAUGUUUGGACUGAUCUAUGCACUUCACCUCAGCUACCCCAAAGCCCUGACCAACACUUUAGAAUUUACUCAAAAGAUUUUACUUGGUCUAGAAAGUGGUAAACUGUCACCCAGGUUACAGACCCUCAAGAAUGACUUGGUUAUGUAGGAACUCAUCUGAAAGAAGGAUGCAGGGUAAAGCGUUAUAAAAGGCUAGUUCAAAGUUCUCUCCUUUUAUCUAAAUAAUGCCUCAAAACGUUAUUGCAUUACUCGACAGGUGUUCAGCCAAUAGGUCCAAACUAUACAACGUGCCUUUGUCCUCAUUAACAUAAUGCAAAGCAACACUAAUGUUUUGUAUGUUUUAAUGUUUUUUGUAAUACUAUUUCUAAAACAUUGUGGGCUGCGCAAGAUGACCUAAAUUUUACUGUUUGAUACUGGUUAAUGUAAAACAAAUAGCAUUGUAAUUCACUCAAAUUGCUGCCCUGUUGCCUUAUUCAGAUAUUAGCCAGAGAGCCAAAGGCACAUUUUGAUAUUAUUUAUUAUUAUUUGGCAUUAUUUUUUAUUACUCUGACAGUUUUCCUGACUAAACAAUUUUUACUUAUUUUAUAUAUUUAUAUUUAUAUAUAUAAUAUAUUUAUAUUUACUUACCUACUUAUUUAUAUUUAUAAAUGUUUUUGUUAAUUAUUUUUGAUUUAUUUAAUUUAAAAAAAAAAAAGUAUUUAAUUUCAACAUAAUGUGCUAAAAGGGAGCAGACAAGAUACUGUUCAAUGGCAGAUGUUUAUGACUUUUGCAUAUUAAGUUACCGAUACUCAUUUUAAUUGAGGCAAUCAAUUGCCUCAAAAAUUUUAAGUUUUGAGUCACAUGUUUUUAAGUAUCAAGUAGUCAACAUAUUUGACUAACGUGUACUUAAAAUAAUGACAACACAAACUAAUAAACAUUUGAGUUUUGUUAACAUAAAAAUGUUAUGGUUGUGUACUUAUUUUUUAUAAGUUCUGUGAACUUAUUCCUUUGAAUUUGUAAACUUGAAACCGUAAGUCAUAUUAACUGCACAUAUUUGAGUUGACCGUUCUCAAAAGAUACAAGUACCAUGUAAUCCAAACUUUUAUGUUCUGGAAAAAUUUGACUUUUAAGUUGAUCAACUCAAAAAAAUUGAGGCAAUCGAUUGCCUCAAUUUUUUUGAGUUCUGGUAACUUAUUCGGGUUUACAGUGUGCCAACACUUAACCAGUUGCUGGAGAAGCUGAGGAAGCUGGAGUCAUCUUGCAAAAUGCGUAGACCUCUUGUUGAUGCACUGUGGGAUCCGGAAACGUUUCGGAGAAAUAAUGAAAGACAGUGAUUGCAGCUCCAGUACUUCUACCAAGAUUGAGAACAUUAUCACUCAGAGGGUGCCAACUGGAACCAAAAGUGGUUCUUUAGACUGAUGCCAUAGAAGAACGUUUUUGGUGCCACAAAGA